rnacentral:lncRNA from 1 species
UGGUUUUCCUAAAUUUACUUUAAUAACAAUGCUUAUUUACGAGAGAUAAAUUUUUAAAUAAAAUAGAUAACUGCGGUUAUCGACUGAAAUAUCGAUAUUAGAGAGAACCCGUUUAUUAUUUGAGAGAGAGAGAGUAGGAUAAAACUCGUUAGAACCGUUCUUUGAAAAUAACAAAUGGCCGAUGUCUUAAGUUGUCAUCAAACUCGUUAAAAAAAAAUAGAAUUAAAUAAAUGAACGUUAUUCAAGAAAACUAAUAAAUCUUUACCCACAAGUAAGUAUUGAUCAAAAUUAUAGGAAACUCUUGUGAGUUGUUCUUUGAGUUUGAUUCUUUGAUUUUUCUUUUUGUAGGUUAUGUUAAAUAAUAAAAUAAAAUUAUCAUCCGACUCACUGUGAAAAAGAAAGGAUUGGAGUUCAAUGUGGUAUCUGGAUUAUGGAUUGUCUCUUGUGUUCGGGGCACUAACUAAUUUUCUGGAUUGUCUACAGGAUUCUUCUUACGGGAAAUUGAACUGUUUGUUCUUCGGAAAUAGGGUCUUGGAUGAUCUCGAAGAAGUAUCAGUAGUUCUCGGAAUAGGUUGUAGGAUGAUUCUCUUUUUAUUUUAAUAUCACAUACAUUGGAGUACACGCCAAAUUUCAACAAUGAGUAAAGUUA